UUAAGCAAAGAAAGGAAAGAGUCAUGUGGAUGAGACUCUUUCAAAAACAAGAGAUGUAACUACACGUUGUUCCCAUUAGGGGGCGCAUCUACACUGUGCACCUGUACUGUUGAGGUCGGCUACGUCAGCACUUCCUGUCACCUCACUCCCAAAACAGCAGCUGUGUGUGAGCAUGUCAACAAAAGCCGAGCAUUUCCUGGUGGGAAACGCCGCAAAAACAGUCAUAAAAGUCGGAUUAAUGUUCACGUCACCACGCUGAUAAUUGGCUCUUUUAAUAGAGGUCCAACUGUGAGCGACAGGGAGACAACUUCUGCCGAGUUAUUAAUGUUGAGAAACUAUAGAAUCUGAAGAAUGAAAGAUGGCGAGUCCAGCCCGUGACCCUGGGGACGGUUGGAGAAACGGUGUUGGCCAAACGCAGGAACUGCCCACUUUCAUCAGAUCACAGAUAAGACCACACACACUAAUUAUCCUACCCGGGUAGUAAUGGUAGAGACACUAUAAGCCACUUGGAACAGAUACAACAAGAAACAACAUUUGAACUGAACUCUUGAGCUCUUUAAUCAGAAGGAGAACCUGAGGAUUAAAGGAACAAUCAGUGAACUAAAGAACAUCCAUUGGAGGUUUUCCACCUCCACAACGGACUAUUUCUUUUGAUUUUCUUAUUUGGUUUUUUAUUUUUCAUUCUUCUAAAACUAAAGUCUUGUGUGUUGUUGUGAGGCAAUAAACUAUCACUGUUCAACUAUA